rnacentral:tRNA from 1 species
AGCUCAGUGGUAAGAGCACUGGCUGCUCUUCCAGAGGACCUGGGUUCAAUACCCAG